rnacentral:rRNA from 1 species
UACGUAGGUGACAAGCGUUAUCCGGAAUUACUGGGCGUAAAGCGCACGCAGGCGGCGCAGUAAGUCUGAUGUGAAAUCUCCUGGCUUAACUGGGAGGGGUCAUUGGAAACUGCUGUGCUUGAGGCGAUGAGAGGGGUGUAGAAUUCCCGGUGUAGUGGUGGAAUGCGUAGAUAUCGGGAGGAAUACCAGUGGCGAAAGCGACACCCUGGCAUUAGCCUGACGCUCAUGUGCGAAGGCGUGGGGAGCGAACGGGAUUAGAAACCCCCGUAGUCC